rnacentral:rRNA from 1 species
UACGGAGGGUGCAAGCGUUAUCCGGAAUCACUGGGUUUAAAGGGUGCGUAGGCGGUCAGAUAAGUCAGUUGUGAAAUACCCCGGCUUAACCGGCGGAACUGCGAUUGGUACUGUUUGACUUGAAUCAGGUUGAGGUAGGCGGAAUGUGGCAUGUAGCGGUGAAAUGCUUAGAUAUGCCAUAGAACACCGAUUGCGAAGGCAGCUUGCUGGACCUGUAUUGACGCUGAGGCACGAAAGCGUGGGGAGCAAACAGG